CCCUUAUUGGGGGGCAAGUUUAUUGGAGGGGCAAGUCUGGUGCCAGCAGCCGCGGUAAUUCCAGCUCCAAAAGCGUAUAUUAAAGUUGUUGCAGUUAAAAAGCUGGUAGUUGAACCUUGGGCUUGGUUGGCCGGUCCAUCUUUGUGAUGCGUACUGGACCCAACGGAGCCUUUCCUUCUGGCUAGCCUUUUGGCGAACCAGGACUUUUACUUUGAAAAAAUUAGAGUGUUCAAAGCAGGCCUUUGCUCGAAUAUAUUAGCAUGGAAUAAUAGAAUAGGACGUUAUGGUUCUAUUUUGUUGGUUUCUAGGACCAUCGUAAUGAUUAAUAGGGACGGUCGGGGGUAUCAGUAUUCAGUUGUCAGAGGUGAAAUUCUUGGAUUUACUGAAGACUAACUACUGCGAAAGCAUUUACCAAGGACGUUUUCAUUAAUCAAGAACGAAAGUUAGGGGAUCGAAGAUGAUCAGAUACCCAACGAGGUACUGGG
rnacentral:rRNA from 1 species